AGCUCCGUGUUGCGCCAUCAGCGUGCCCACGAGCCCCCGCGGCCCGAGCUGCGCUGUCCCGCCUGUCUCAAGGCCUUCAAGGAUCCUGGCUACUUCCGGAAGCACCUGGCUGCCCAUCAGGGCGGCAGGCCUUUCCGCUGCUCCUCCUGCGGUGAGGGCUUUGCCAACACCUAUGGUCUGAAGAAACACCGCCUGAUGCACAAGGCUGAGGGUCUUGGGAUGCCCGGAACAGGGGGAAGCACCUUGGCCGGAAAGGAUCCCUGACCAGGGUGUUUCAGUGUGCCAAUCAGAUAUUCCCUCUGGACUCUACCCUUCUGGGGCUGCUGGUCAGACUCUCCCCACCCCUCCUUACUGUCACCCAUUCUAAAGAAUCCCAGGUGGUCUAGCUUCUUUCCAGUCCCAUGCCCUACAAACUGAAGAUUAAAUUGCUCCGAUCCCAGGCCAUUCUGGCCCUUCCUUCUUCAUCUGUCAGACACUGGACUUGAUCCUCUGUCCAGUUGAUCCUCUUUUGUAAACCUCAUCUGCCACCCAGCAGCAUUCUGGCUCCAGUGAACUCUGUGGUGGAGAUGGGUUUGAACUACUCACCCCCUCCACUUCCUCUGGGAUCUGGCUGGACAGUGGACUAUGAACAGAGUUGGGAGGGCACAGGUGGGGGUCUGGGUGCUCCUGGAUGGGGGCGGGUUGGGGAGGGGACAGACGCGGCUUGUACAGAGCAGAGAACAAUAAAUGGUAUCAACAGGG
rnacentral:lncRNA from 1 species